rnacentral:rRNA from 1 species
CGGCGGACGGGUGAGUAACACGUGGAUAACCUACCUAUAAGACUGGGAUAACUUCGGGAAACCGGAGCUAAUACCGGAUAAUAUUUUAAACCGCAUGGUUCAAAAGUGAAAGACGGUCUUGCUGUCACUUAUAGAUGGAUCCGCGCUGCAUUAGCUAGUUGGUAAGGUAACUGCUUACCAAGGCAACGAUGCAUAGCCGACCUGAGAGGGUGAUCGGCCACACUGGAACUUAGACACGGUCCAG